rnacentral:rRNA from 1 species
AGUGAACGCUGGCGGUAGGCCUAACACAUGCAAGUCGAACGGCAGCACAGUAAGAGCUUGCUCUUACGGGUGGCGAGUGGCGGACGGGUGAGGAAUACAUCGGAAUCUACUUUUUCGUGGGGGCUAACGUAGGGAAACUUACGCUAAUACCGCAUACGACCUACGGGGGAAAGCAGGGGAUCUUAGGCCCUUGCGCGAUUGAAUGAGCCGAUGUCGGAUUAGCUAGUUGGCGGGGUAAAGGCCCACCAAGGCGACGAUCCGUAGCUGGUCUGAGAGGAUGAUCAGCCACACUGGAACUGAGACACGGUCCAGACUCCUACGGGAGGCAGCAGUGGGGAAUAUUGGACAAUGGGCGCAAGCCUGAUCCAGCCAUACCGCGUGGGUGAAGAAGGCCUUCGGGUUGUAAAGCCCUUUUGUUGGGAAAGAAAAGCAGCAAGUUAAUACCCCGCUGUUCUGACGGUACCCAAAGAAUAAGCACCGGCUAACUUCGUG